CAGUUGCCAUCGGGUGAAGCCGGGCACUCUGGAAGGACUGCCAUCGACAAGAUGGAGGAAGGUGGGGACGACGUCAAGUCAUCAUGGCCCUUAUGUCCAGGGCGACACACGUGCUACAAUGGCCGGCACAACGGGAAGCGAGUUCGCGAGGACGAGCGGAUCCCUUAAAGCCGGUCGCAGUUCGGAUUGAAGUCUGCAACUCGACUUCAUGAAGCUGGAAUCGCUAGUAAUCGCAGAUCAGCCAAGCUGCGGUGAAUACGUUCCCGGGCCUU
rnacentral:rRNA from 1 species